GGGGAAUGCCCUGGGGAUGGUGGCCAGCCCCAACCAAGAGUCCAGCUCAGAAGGUGGCGAGAUGGGUCUGCAGUCAAACAGAAACCAACUCCUCAGGAUGAGUCCUGGCUCAAGGGGAGCACCAGCACCGACAAAGCACGGCCCAGGGAAGAGGCAGCAGCCCCAGGCUGAGCUUAAGGAGAGCUCAAGUGGGACUGAAACCGAAGCUGAGCUCCACUUCUGGCAAAGAAUGUGUGGCAGCCUCCACAUCCUCACAGAUCAGGAGACCACUGUGCUCCCUAUGUCUGUCUCAGGCUGCUCAGGACAUGAAGACAGAUGUAAAGAACUCCUUCUAUUUGAAAUACAGAUUUUCCACUUCUUCCAGGCAUGAGAGGAUGUGCAGGAGCAAAA
rnacentral:lncRNA from 1 species